AAAGAAGGAGGUUCGGUUAAAACCGCUACUUUGCGUAGCAACACCGAACUACCCACGUUGCGUGGG
rfam:Virgibacillus necropolis strain LMG 19488 chromosome, complete genome.